AUUGAACGCUGGCGGCAGGCCUAACACAUGCAAGUCGAACGAGUGGCGGACGGGUGAGUAAUGUCUGGGAAACUGCCCGAUGGAGGGGGAUAACUACUGGAAACGGUAGCUAAUACCGCAUACCAUCGGAUGUGCCCAGAUGGUAUUAGCUAGUAGGUGGGGUAACGGCUCAACUAGGCAACGAUCCCUAGCUGGUCUGAGAGGAUGCCCAGCCACACUGGAACUGAGAAACGGUUCAGACUCCUACGGGAGGCAGCAGUGGGGAAUAGUGCACAAUGGGCGCAAGCCUGAUGCAGCCAUGCCGCGUGUAUGAAGAAGGCCUUCGGGUUGUAAAGUAGUUUCAGCGAGGAGGCGUUACUCGCAGAAGAAGCACCGGCUAACUCCGUGCCAGCAGCCGCGGUAAUUC
rnacentral:rRNA from 1 species